UUCCGGUUGAUGCUGCCGGAGGUCAUUGNUAUUGGAGUCCGAUUUAGCCAUGCUAGUCGUACGAGUUCAUACUCGUGGCGAAUAGCUCAGUAACACGUGGCCAAACUACCCUACAGAGAACAAUAACCUCGGGAAACUGAGGCUAAUGGUUCAUAUCGCUCGAUGCCUGGAAUUGGCUUGAGCAUGAAAUGCUUCCGCGCUGUAGGAUGUGGCUGCGGCCGAUUAGGUAGACGGUGGGGUAACGGCCCACCGUGCCGAUAAUCGGUGCGGGUUGUGAGAGCAAGAGCCCGGAGACGGUAUCUGAGACAAGAUACCGGGCCCUACGGGGCGCAGCAGGCGCGAAACCUUUACACUGCACGCCAGUGCGAUAAGGGGACUCCGAGUGCGAGGGCAUAUAGUCCUCGCUUUUCACCACCGUAAGGAGGUGGUAGAAUAAGUGCUGGGCAAGACCGGUGCCAGCCGCCGCGGUAAUACCGGCAGCACGAGUGAUGACCGCUAUUAUUGGGCCUAAAGCGUCCGUAGCUGGCCGUGCAAGUCUAUCGGGAAAUCUGUGUGCCUAACACACAGGCGUCCGGUGGAAACUGCACGGCUUGGGACCGGAAGACCAGAGGGGUACGUCUGGGGUAGGAGUGAAAUCCCGUAAUCCUGGACGGACCACCGGUGGCGAAAGCGCCUCUGGAAGACGGAUCCGACGGUGAGGGACGAAAGCUCGGGUCACGAACCGGAUUAGAUACCCGGGUAGUCCGAGCUGUAAACGAUGUCUGCUAGGUGUGACACAAACUACGAGUUUGCGUUGUGCCGUAGGGAAGCCGUGAAGCAGACCGCCUGGGAAGUACGUCCGCAAGGAUGAAACUUAAAGGAAUUGGCGGGGGAGCACUACAACCGGAGGAGCCUGCGGUUUAAUUGGAUUCAACGCCGGA
rnacentral:rRNA from 1 species